CUUUUCGUAAUCGUUACUUAAAAGCCGGCGGAGGCGCUCUUUGCCCGUUCGUUUUUGUCGUAUCGUCGCUGGUCAUCGCCGUCACCAACUCGCCGACAGCCUUUCCUAAGUCCCCUAAAAAAAGAAAAAUUAACAUGUCUCUUUUCCUAGAAUGAUUCAGCGGUCCUUUAUAUAUAUAUAUAUAUUUUUUUUUUUUAAAGAUCAAUUCUUACUGUGAAACAAAUUUUUGCAAAUUCUCUAAACAACUCAACAAAGAACGAGUCUCCGACUAAAACAACCGAAAAUAUGUACAGUGGCAGAAAGCGAUGGGCAGAGAAUUAUGUCAUGAUUCGAGUAUGCACGGUGCAUGAUCGUGUAUGACCGAGCAUUAUGAACAUGGUAUUUGAACAGCAACAUUAACGUGUGUUCGACAAUUCAAGAAGAUGGAACAUGUGAUCAUGUGUUCGCGCGAAUCGCAGAUUCAGCAGGAAAAGAAGCGUUGAGAGUCUCACCUUACAUCCAUCCUGUGGCGUGAAAAAAUAGGAAAGCAUUGUCAUUGUUAAGCAGAAUUGGAUCGUGCACAGAAUGUUCGAGAUGAAGAAGUUCGCUUAAGGCAACAUAAAUAUGAUUUAGAUUAAAAAUAGUACGCCAAGGGGAAACGAACCUGCCAUGUGUAAGAGAUUACCCACGUUAUGGGCAACGCUGUGAGAAUGCGGUGGCGGUGGUGGCCUCUCUAAACUGCUUACUCUUCCCUCGUUCGAGCCUCCACCACCUACGCCCAUAUACCCAUACCGAUAAGCUUAUGAUAACGUCUUUGUUAAUAUGCGUUAAUAUGCGUCGAACUUUGUUAAUUUAGUUGAGUGCUAAUAGGCGUGUCAUCGACACGAUUGUUUUAAAUAUGAUUCAACUAAAUAGUAAUUUUUAGUUGAAAAAAGCCGUAUCAAAAUUUUGCAUCCUUUCGUAUGUGAGAAACUACUGAACCGUGAGACCUCCAUUUAUUUUCACCCAAUACGUGUGCUUUUCAUAUUUCGACAAAAUAUUGAAUGUAUAUUUGGACGCAGCAUUAAGGGUAUGCGUCUAGAGGGGUUGAAAAUAGCAGUUUUUAAUUUAAUUAAAAAAUAUAUAAUGUUAGAGAAAUUGUGACACAAAAUAGACGUUUGCUUCAAUGAUGCUUAAAACCUUUCAACACAAUUCGAAAUGCUAGUCAUAUGAAUGCGAAAUUAUAUUUCUCAAACAUUGAUGAACCAAAUUAAGUAAAAUUGUAUAUGGAGAUUCUUAACGAAAAUCAUUCGAUUUUCACUUAUAAAUAAAAAUAUAUACGAGAAUUUAUACAAAAAAGUAUCAAAUUUCUCAAAUAGCUGUGUUGAGAAAACAUUUGUUCAAAAUGUAUUAACGUGUUUCAAAUUUCCAUACUUGUUUCAUAUACGUUUCACUAGAACAUUCGCAGAAAUAUCAGUAUUAUUAUGUAAAACACGGUUAAAUAAAAAAACACGAUAUAAAUUGCGUUCAAAUCUAUAAACAUCAUAUUAUUAAAACCACGAAAUCCACUAUUUUCGAUGCAAUCAUUUAUUACAUGCUAUAAAACCUUCUCUAUAUGCGUAAAAGACGGAUGAUUUUUCACCUAAUCGCAUUCUCUCAUCGACUAUCUUGCUGUUAUUCAGCUAGAAAACGAUACAAAUAUUUUUAGUAUUACUAUCAUUGCAUACAGUAACCCGACGAAUGUUGCUGCUAACUUAUAACUUUAUACUGGUUCGAAAUAUUUAAAAACCACCUCACUUCCUAUCGUUCCUAUGUACACAUGUUCUGCAGCCAUAAGGGUCGACGAAUGAAUGAAAAUACCUGAUCGCGUUAAAUAAAAAUAGCUGACAAACGGAGACCUAAAUCGUCGAAACACACAUAUUUCAUACAUAAAAUAUUCUCGCUAUGUCACUUAUCAGUAACAAAAAUUACCUGGAGAAUCAUGGUAAUGGCCAUUCAUCUUCGCCGGAGAGUCAGUAGCCAGCUGCGAAGCGGUUACGCUUCGUGUCUGCAAAGUGCCAGUUUUCGACGGCGAUGAAGCAUUCGGCUGUAAAAAUGAGACGUCGUCAUGAAAUCUAUCAUAUAAAGGAAACCCUGGCGAGUCGAGAUAUCCGACUGACCUCGUCCAGGAGCUGUCUGAGUCUCUGCAGCUGCGCCUCCAGUUGCCUAUUAUGAUCCUCGAGUAUCUGCAUGCGCGCCUCCAAUCUGCCUUUAUGCUGUCUCAACAAUUUUGCUUCGGCGAUCAUGUCGCAGUCCGGUUGCCGAUUGCCGUGGCCGUCCUCGGGCGUGGAGCCCGGUGUCUGCUUCGAGCGUAGUCGUUCGUACUCCGCUUGGAGCGUUGCGUUCUCCUCCUCGAGCUCGCGGAUCAUCGCCUCGAGCUCCUCCCUUUGCUCGGCGUCGAUGGCAGCCAUCACUUGAACGGGGCUCCUGGGCACGUUCACAUUGUCGCCGCCGUUCAAGCUCUGGCAAUAAUGCGCGAUCAGUUGAUGUUCGUCGUCGCUGUCCGGCGUCGAGUUGCUUCUGGUGCGCGACAGCUCGACCUCCGCGAGCCGGGAGGCGUACAUCUCCAAUCGAGAAUGCAUGUCCUGGCUGAGGGAGCUGUGCUGAGGCGACGGCGCCGGACUCUCCAGUGCAUCCCCCUCGAGCACAGUCUGCACCGGCAAAUAACCAACCCGCGGAUGUUUCUUGAAGUAUCUCUUCGACUUGAAUUUGUUCCGAAGUGCCCUUGUGAAGUCGCGCACGUCCUCUCCAGAUGUAGUCUGCGCCAAAUAAAUAAACAGAUAUUAUUGCACCGAGUCAUGGCCACUGACGUCUCCACCUAUAUACAAACUAUAUAUAGAAAAUACGAUACGGCACAUCAGCCCCCUCGGCAAAAUAAGCACUAGAAUUUAGACCUUGAUGCAACGUCGAUCCUACGCUUUUUACGUUUGUAUGCAACGAGUAAGUGCGAGUACUCGGCGAAGUGAUUACAUAUGUAUAUAAUAGUGAUAUAUAAGUGAUUACGACUAAAUAUGAUAUAAGUGAUUGAGUAAAAUGACAUUGGCUGCUAAGGGAUGGAACCCUUUAGUAAUCAGCAAUAUAGGGUAGCGGAGCCAGUUAUACUAUAGAGUGAUCAAUUUUUUCGGGCAUAAUUAACUUUAUAUUUAUGGAAUAGUAAUUUGUUUCUUCUUUUAUUUUGCUUACUAUUCAAUGAAACAUUGUAAUAGGUCUUAUUUGAUAAAUAUAAAGUCAAUUACAUCUACUGUUAGAUUUCAUUGUUUUGUGGUCUGGAAAGCAGUUUUCAAUUGUUUCAAGGUAGAACUGAUUAUUUGAAUCGUUUACUGUAAGAUAUUAAAAUAUAUUUUAUGAGUGUGAGCAAAAGUACAUUUGAAAUUAUCUUAUAAGCGAUGUGUAAAUAAUCUGUCUAAUAGCCUAUAUUUGUAGAAGGUUUGUUACACGGUAUACGAGAUUGAAUUUUAUUCAUAUAGUAACGCAGAAAUUUGUAACAGGUGCUUGUAAAUUUUAUUAAACAUAAAUUCUUAUAUUUUUUCA